CCAAUAGCGUAUAUUAAAGUUGUUGCGGUUAAAAAGCUCGUAGUUGGAUCUGUGUCCCGCGCCGUCGGUUCACCGCCUGUCGGUGUUUAACUGGCGUGUCUGUGGGACGUCCUGCCGGUGGCUGUUUGGUUGACAUAGCGGGUUCGUAGAGGUCAUUGCGGUAAAAUACCGCGUGUCUCGAAGGCCUGUUUGUUUUAUCGGCAGCCUUUACAAUCCCGUGGCGGUGCUCUUUACCGAGUGUCGUCGCGGGCCGGCACGUUUACUUUGAACAAAUUAGAGUGCUUUAAGCAGGCCCUGUCCCGCCUGUAUGUUUUGUGCAUGGAAUAAUGGAAUAGGACCUCGGUUCUAUUUUGUUGGUUUUAGGAACCUGAGGUAAUGAUCAAUGGGGACAGGCGGGGGCAUUCGUAUUGCGACGUUAGAGGUGAAAUUCUUGGAUCGUCGCAAGACGGACCGAAGCGAAAGCAUUUGCCAAGUAUGUUCCUGUCGAUCAAGAACGAAAGUUAGAGGUUCGAAGGCGAUCAGAUACCGCCCUAGUUCUAACCAUAAACUAUGUCUGCCAGCGAUCCGCCGAAGUUCCUCAUAUGACUCGGCGGGCAGCUUCCGGGAAACCAAAGCUUUUGGGUUCCGGGGGAAGUAUGGUUGCAAAGCUGAAACUUAAAGGAAUUGACGGAAGGGCACCACCAGGAGUGGAGCCUGCGGCUUAAUUUGACUCAACACGGGAAAACUCACCAGGCCCGGACACCGGAAGGAUUGACAGAUUGAGAGCUCUUUCUUGAUUCGGUGGGUGGUGGUGCAUGGCCGUUCUUAGUUGGUGGAGCGAUUUGUCUGGUUAAUUCCGAUAACGAACGAGACUCUAGCCUACUAACUAGGCGUACCCGGUAUCCACAAUCGUGCUACCGGCGAUUCAAUAUCUUCUUAGAGGGACAGGCGGCUUCUAGCCGCACGAGAUUGAGCAAUAACAGGUCUGUGAUGCCCUUAGAUGUCCUGGGCCGCACGCGCGCUACACUGAAGGAAUCAGCGUGUUUCCCCUGUUCGAAAGGACCGGGUAACCCGCUGAACCUCCUUUGUGCUAGGGAUUGGGGCUUGUAAUUGUUCCCCAUGAACGAGGAAUUCCCAGUAAGCGUGAGUCAUAAGCUCGCGUUGAUUACGUCCCUGCCCUUUGUACACACCGCCCGUCGCUACUACCGAUUGAAUGAUUUAGUGAGGUCUUCGGACCGGUGCGCGGAGGCUGCUAGCGUAGUUUCCGAUGUUGCUGGAAAGAUGACCAAACUUGAUCAUUU
rnacentral:rRNA from 1 species